rnacentral:rRNA from 1 species
UACGUAGGGGGCAAGCGUUGUCCGGAUUUAUUGGGCGUAAAGAGCGUGUAGGCGGCCAUACAGGUCAGCUGUGAAAACUCGAGGCUCAACCUCGAGACGUCGGUUGAAACCGUAUGGCUAGAGUCCGGAAGAGGAGAGUGGAAUUCCCGGUGUAGAGGUGAAAUUCGUAGAUAUUGGGAAGAACACCGGUGGCGAAGGCGGCGACCUGGUCCAUUACUGACGCUGAGGCGCGACAGCGUGGGGAGCAAACAGG